rnacentral:lncRNA from 1 species
UUUUCUUCGCCGUUUUCUCUUUUUCGCGCUUUUUCUCUUCCAGCAGUACAAGCAUAUUUUACAACAUUAUUUUUUACAGUUUUUAUAUUGUUUCUUUUGCAAUUUCUAUUUUCUUUUCCAGCAAUUAAUUAAUUUUUCGCACAAUAGUUUCUACACCGGAAACUAUUGUGUACCUUUCACUAGAUCUAACCUUACGUUAGACCCUAGAUUUUUAUUCCUUCACUUUUAUUUUUCUGUCUGAUUGAAGAAUUCAAGAACAAAUCCAACCGGUCUGUGGUGGAUGUUCAAGACUGCUAUUAAUUACUCAGGUUCUUU